UACAGAGGGUGCAAGCGUUAAUCGGAAUUACUGGGCGUAAAGCGUGCGUAGACGGUUACAUAAGUCGGGUGUGAAAGCCCCGGGCUCAACCUGGGAAUUGCAUUCGAGACUGCGUAGCUAGGGUGCGGAAGAGGGAAGCGGAAUUUCCGGUGUAGCGGUGAAAUGCGUAGAUAUCGGAAGGAACACCAGUGGCGAAAGCGGCUUCCUGGUCCAGCACCGACGUUCAGGCACGAAAGCGUGGGGGGCAAACAGG
rnacentral:rRNA from 1 species